rnacentral:lncRNA from 1 species
CCCAGGCCUUCGCUACAAACUGCGUUUUUAACAGAGUUUGUCCUAACGGGGUUUCAGUAUCCAACCCUGAGUCCAUCUGUAGAUUCUUUCGUAACCGCUCCAGCCCAUCAUUAGGGGACUCCUCUUUCUUCUGCCUUUUGUCAAAUGCUUUAUUGAUGUUCUGGCCUCUAGGGACUGCUUCCCUAAUCCCCUGCAUAACUAUAUUUCGUAAAUGCUGCAUAUCUAUUCGGUGAUUCAGAUCCUGGUGGUCCCAUUGGGGUCUUUGGAGGGGCCGUUUUACAUCUGCCUGAGGUCCCUGGGCAUGCUGGGCGUCCCAGACUCUCAUUCCUGCAGUCCUGAUCAUGUGUUUUUCUUCAGUUGUAAAUAAGAUGCCUAGAAUGGACUGUAACUCAUCCCACGUAUGUAUACUGGGGCCUAGAAACUGCUCUACCCUGUCCGCAACUCCCAAUGGCUCUUCCAAAAGCUGACCCAUCUCUUUCUUAAAUUCCCUAACAGAGCUCCGAGCUCAGCCAGCCCAGCCUCAGCCUCCCCUGGGCGCCUCGAGGCCGCUCCCCGCCCCUCCGAUGGCGGCCCCCUCCCCUCCUAUCGCCGCUCCCCGCCCCUCCGAUGGCGGCCCCCUCCCCUCCUAUCGCCGCUCCCCCCCCUCCUAUCGCCGCUCCUGCGAUCGAACUGUGGGUUGUGGAGUCAAUUCCCCUUUUCCGUUGUUCAAUGCAGAAGCAACACUUCCACUUUCCACAAAUCUUACUGGCUUACAGAGUUCGAUUCCGCACAUCCUGAGCACGGAGGGACGAUCGCAGCCCGGAGACCGGGCAAAAAAAAAACAAAAAAAACCGGCGGCUGCGGGUCCGCACGUGGCGCCACGCGAUGCCCUGGGGGCCGCCAUCUUGGCAGUGGCGCACGCUGCCAAGGGACUGCGGAGGUCACGUGAUCGCGGGCACUUCCGGUUACGGGGAGAGCUUAUCACGUGACACUGGAGCGCCGCGCUUAUUGCGAGCGCCCCCUCGUGGCUGCGCUCGGCGUUGCGGCGCCGCCCGCCUCCCCCCCCGCCGUUCCGCCCCGUCUUCGUUCCGCCGAACCGCCCCGCAACGGAUCCGAGCGGCACCGCCCGCCCGCCCCGUACCCAGAAAAUCCCCACCGAAACCACCGCAAAUAACCCAAACUGCACCAGAUGAGCCCUGAACGGAACCAAAUGGCCGCAGUUGGCCCAGAAAUGGGGGCGCGGUGCCUCAAGUGGCACCAAACCGGCUCCAAAGAGGCACAAACAGCCCCGGUCCGCCGCCGGAUCGGAGCGAAACGGCCUCAGAGCGACCCAAACAGACGGGAUGGGCCCGGACGGGAAGGAACGGCCCCCAAGGCAUCGGAACGGGCCCAGAACGACUCGGCGCGGAUCCCAAAGGCCCUGCAGCGCGAGGCCCAGCGCCGGGCGGCCGCGGGCUGAGCGCCGGGGCCGGAAACCGGGCGGCAGAACGGCGGGGCCCGGGACGCACGUGGCGCCCGGCGCCGCUCUGCCAGCCGCCAUCUUGGGGGCGGCGACUUCCGAGAAACGCUUUGUCACGUGACACGAGCGCGCCGAGCGGAGCGCUGCUCGGCGCCAUCUUGUUGCGAGCGCCCCCUCGUGGCUGCGCUCGGCGGUGCGGCGCCGUCCGCUUCCCCUCCCCCCUCACUGUUCCCUUCCCCCCCCGCUUUUCCGCCCCGCCUUCAUACGAACCGCCCCGCCUUCAUACUACCGAACCGCCCCGCCUUCAUACGAACCGCCCCGCCUUCAUACUACCGAACCGCCCCGCGCCGCCCGCCCGCCCUCAACGCUGCGUUACCAAAAAAAAAACCCACCGAAACGACCGCAAAUAACCCCCAACGGAACCGACCCCGCUCUCGUAGCGCCCCGUCCGUGCCGCCAGCCCGAACCGAGCCCGAACCGCCCCGCGCUCCGCGCACCCCAAAGCCGCCCUUAACGCCGCCCGCAGCGCC